UACACCAGUUCUUUGUUUUUAUCAUCAGAACGUCUUCAUUCAUCAUCUCUGUUCUGAGUUAUUUCUGGGUUUGUUGCUGAUGUCAGCACUAAUCUACUCUAAUCUAAUCUAAUCUAAUCUAAUCUGGGGAUUACUGCUGGAGACCAGGACCUAAGGCUAUCAAAGUUGAGCUAGCCUGAAUCAAAAACAAAUCGCUUAUCAUCUUUGGUUCCCAAAACCAGCCGUUCAAGGCUAUCACAUCUACCACCUGGAUGUAUCACCCAAAGUUACUGUCAGAUUGGAAAAUGGCUUUGUAUCAACCAAGUGCCCCAACUGUCAGAAAGAACUGCAAUCAGAGGAGGCCCUGAAGUUUCACAUGGCGCAAAAAACCAAAAGGACAGUCAACCAAUUUCUCUUCAGAGGAGCAGUGCUGGAAAGCCAGAAAUAAAGCCCCCUGCUCCCCAAACUGCUGUUGGCCCACCUCCAAUCGUCUUGCCAUUGAAUAUUGCUGGCAAUGCAGUGCAUUCAGCAUCACCGACACUGACAACAGUCAGUCCUCGGCCUGUUAUUGUUAAUAAUCAGGGCUUUAUCGUCACCUCUCCACAAAUAGUAAACAACAGGGACUUCAUUGCAUCUUUUGGAACACAGUACCCUCCAGGGACAUAAUUUACAAUUGUUCCAGCUGGACAGCAGCAGAUUUUUCAACAGGUCCCCAUCGUACCGAGUGCAGUCCACAGACCUCAGGUGCAACAAAUCAGCAACAACAUAGUGACGUUGUCAAACGUUCAAAUUCCUACGGUGUACACCGCAACGGCUAAUCAGCUUCAGUUUAGCAAGCCUAAUCACCACACACUCCAGACCUUUUCUGCACCCGUGGUCCACAACAUUAACAAAGAUGAAACCGUAGCCAAACGAGGAUUGACAUCAAAUGAAAGUGACUUUGAAGCGAAGAAACUAAAGCUUAACAUGUUAUCACCCAAAGUUACUGUCAGAUUGGAAAAUGGCUUUGUAUCAACCAAGUGCCCCAACUGUCAGAAAGAACUGCAAUCAGAGGAGGCCCUGAAGUUUCACAUGGCGGUGAGUAAAGUACCUGAUGAGCAAGAGCUCAUACACACUACAGAACUCACUCACACGUGCUGUCCCUUAAAGGAGAAGAAAACACUUUGUGGCACAUAUUGUGCAGCUGUUUGUUAAUAAAUGUGUCUGGCAUUUUGCA
rnacentral:lncRNA from 1 species